AUUGAACGCUGGCGGCAGGCCUAACACAUGCAAGUCGAACGAGUGGCGGACGGGUGAGUAAUGUCUGGGAAACUGCCUGAUGGAGGGGGAUAACUACUGGAAACGGUAGCUAAUACCGCAUACCAUCAGAUGUGCCCAGAUGGGAUUAGCGAGUUGGUGGGGUAACGGCUCACCAAGGCGACGAGCCCUAGCUGGCCUGAGAGGAUGACCAGCCAAACUGGAACUGAGACACGGUCCAGACUCCUACGGGAGGCAGCAGUGGGGAACAUUGCAAAAUGGGCGAAAGCCGGAUGCAGCCAUGCCGCGUGGGUUAAGAAGGCCUUCGGGUUGUAAAGUACUUUCAGCGGGGAGGCGUUACCCGCAGAGGAAGCACCGGCUAACUCCGUGCCAGCAGCCGCGGUAAUUC
rnacentral:rRNA from 1 species